CCAACAUUGAGCUUCUUCUCGCCUUAAGACAUUUUGGCCUUCUUUUUGUGUCACAGUAGCUAAGAUAAUAAUGUUGAUGAUGAUGAAGGAGUCAAUUAUUAUUAUAUGAUAAAAAAGAGGCAACUUUUAAAUAUAAAGGUUAAAAGGAAGAUAAUAAUGAUAGAGAAAUAAAUUCCAAUGAUUUUUUCUUUUUUCUCAAAACACGAUUUAUUCAUUCAAUCUUCCCGCCAUCAUCAAUUUCAAUUAACAUGUGACCACUGCAAGGCUAUGACUUUCACUUUUGCCUUAUUUUUUCUGCUCUUGCUUUAAUAUUUUUAUAUAACCCUAAAGAUUUUUUUAUUUUUAAAUCAUUAAUAAUGAUAUUAUUAUAAUUGUUGUACUUUUUUUUACAUGAAUGUUAUUACUAUCAUCGUCUUGUUUAAUUCAUGGCAAUGUUAAUGGAUUCAGAUAAUCGUCUGACUGUUUCAUCAAUAAAAAUGCUGCCGAUAAUUGGUUUUCCCUUUCACUUGAGACGCAAUAAAAUGGCAAAAACCACAUUGUUUGGUUUGGAUAUAAAUGUUACAUAAUAUUUCAUCUUGGAAAACAUGUUAAACCAUAACUCAGAAUCUUGAUGAUGAUCAUCUCUGAGUAAACAAACUUCAUCAGCUUCUCACAGCUAGUAAAAUAAUGAUGAUGCAGGGGAUGAUCCAGCGAUGAAGUUGGAGAUGGAGAUGGAGAUGAGGGCAAAGAAGCAAAAUCAAUUAACAAGAUAUAAUCAAGUGAAUCCUCCUUCUUUUAAAUAUAUUUUUCAUCUUAAGGAAACCUCCCUUUACUUCAUUGCCAUGCCGUUGUGUUUUGUUUUUUCAUGUUCACUGGAUAUUUGAAAGGUUAUUAAAAGAAAUAUAUCAUUUCUUUUUUUCUUGAAAAAACUUAAUCACAAUCAAGUGAACAACUUUUCUUUUCUUUCAUCCAAGAACCGAUUUAUUAAGCAAAAGUGGUAAAUGAUGGCAAUGAAAGCAACAUCUUUGUUAACUUUUACCUUUUUAUUUUUUUAAUUGUUUCUAGAUGAAAGCUCGAUAAGUUGCUAUCAUAAUCAUCUUCAUGACAAUCAACGAUUGUAAAUGAUUUCUGUAUUCAUGUAAUACAUUCCUCACUUGUUGAUUGCAAUGUCAAUGCGUUUGUAUUUUUGUUUAUUCUUGUUGUUAUUAAUUGAAUUGAGGGACCAAACAACCAUUAACAUAAUUUGAAAACAAAAAAUGAUUGCUUAUGUACAUGGAUUCAGAAAUUACCUGCAAUGUAGCAAUAAGAAAAGAAGUGUAAUGUUAAUGAGAUUUAUUGUUUAAACAAUAAUUUUGUCUUUUCAUUUCAUCCACUUAUUCAGACUCUCCAGAAUUUCAAGCAACAUUUCAAUUUUCACAAUUCCGAAUCAAAACAAAUUAACCGUUCAUUUUCUUCCUCGAUAUUUCUAUCGUAGCCUUAUUCAGUCAAUUGAAACUUCAUGCAAAGUAUAGACAACCUUUCAAAAAUCUACUU